UAUACGACCGUACCGCAAACCGACACUGGUGCGCGAGAUGAGUAUUCUAAGGCGCUUGAGAGAACUCAGGAGAAGGAACUCGGCAAAUUGACACCGUAACUUCGGAAGAAGGUGUGCCCUAUUGGUGUGUAGUGAACAACGAAGCAUGAAUGGGUUGCAAAAAAUCGGUGGCUGCGACUGUUUAUUAAAAACACAGCACUCUGCAAACACGAAAGUGGACGUAUAGGGUGUGACGCCUGCCCGGUGCUGGAAGAUUAAAUGAUGGGGUGCAAGCUCUUGAUUGAAGUCCCAGUAAACGGCGGCCGUAACUAUAACGGUCCUAAGGUAGCGAAAUUCCUUGUCGGGUAAGUUCCGACCUGCACGAAUGGCGUAACGAUGGCCACACUGUCUCCUCCUGAGACUCAGCGAAGUUGAAAUGUUUGUGAUGAUGCAAUCUCCCCGCGGAAAGACGGAAAGACCCCAUGAACCUUUACUGUAGCUUUGUAUUGGACUUUGAACAGAUCUGUGUAGGAUAGGUGGGAGGCUUUGAAGCAGGGUCGCUAGAUCUUGUGGAGCCAACGUUGAAAUACCACCCUGGUGUGUUUGAGGUUCUAACCUAGGUCCAUUAUCUGGAUCGGGGACAGUGCAUGGUAGGCAGUUUGACUGGGGCGGUCUCCUCCCAAAGCGUAACGGAGGAGUUCGAAGGUACGCUAGUUACGGUCGGACAUCGUGACGAUAGUGCAAUGGCAUAAGCGUGCUUAACUGCGAGACUGACAAGUCGAGCAUAUGCGAAAGCAGGACAUAGUGAUCCGGUGGUUCGUAUGGAAGGGCCAUCGCUCAACGGAUAAAAGGUACUCUGGGGAUAACAGGCUGAUACCGCCCAAGAGUUCAUAUCGACGGCGGUGUUUGGCACCUCGAUGUCGGCUCAUCUCAUCCUGGGGCUGUAGCCGGUCCCAAGGGUAUGGCUGUUCGCCAUUUAAAGAGGUACGUGAGCUGGGUUUAAAACGUCGUGAGACAGUUUGGUCCCUAUCUUCCGUGGGCGCUGCAGAUUUGAGGAAGCCUGCUCCUAGUACGAGAGGACCGGAGUGGACACACCUCUGGUGUAUCGGUUGUCACGCCAGUGGCAUUGCCGAGUAGCUAAGAGUGGAAGAGAUAACCGCUGAAAGCAUCUAAGCGGGAAACUCGUUUCAAGAUGAGAUCUGCCGGGGCCUUGAGCCCCCUAAAGAGUCGUUCAAGACCAGGACGUUGAUAGGUCAGGUGUGGAAGUG
rnacentral:rRNA from 1 species